UCCGAUAUGGUGUAGUGGCUAACAUUGCCGCCUCUCAUAUGCUCAAGUAUUUGGGGUCGCGGCAGCCCGGGGUUCAAUUCCCCGUGUCGGAA